CACCACCGUAGAUAGCAACAGAUGGUUCCGGAGAAGUGCUUCAUCUGUAUGCUCUACACAAUAAGCCUCCUGACAAAGGAUCAUCUUCCUUUGAAGAAGAAUAUGGAAUACGUGAAGUGACUAGUUCCGAUUAUGCCAGGAUGAAGAA